UACGUAGGUCGCAAGCGUUGUCCGGAUUUACUGGGCGUAAAGAGCGCGCAGGCGGUCGUUCAAGUCGCGUGUGAAAGCCCCCGGCUCAACUGGGGAGGGUCACGCGAUACUGAUCGACUCGAAGGCAGGAGAGGGAAGUGGAAUUCCCGGUGUAGUGGUGAAAUGCGUAGAUAUCGGGAGGAACACCAGUGGCGAAGGCGACUUCCUGGCCUGUUCUUGACGCUGAGGCGCGAAAGCUAGGGGAGCAAACGGG
rnacentral:rRNA from 1 species